AGACUUUGAUCAUGGCUCAGGAUGAACGCUAGCUACAGGCUUAACACAUGCAAGUCGAGGGGCAGCCUGUUGGUUGCUUGCAACCAACGAUGGCGACCGGCGCACGGGUGAGUAACGCGUAUCCAACCUUCCGCAUACUCGGGAAUAGCCUUUCGAAAGAAAGAUUAAUGCCCGAUGGUUUCCCGAAUCCGCAUGAGCGCGGGAAUAAAGAUUCAUUGGUAUGCGAUGGGGUUGCGUCCCAUUAGCUUGUUGGCGGGGUAACGGCCCACCAAGGCGACGAUGGGUAGGGGUUCUGAGAGGAAGGUCCCCCACAUUGGAACUGAGACACGGUCCAAACUCCUACGGGAGGCAGCAGUGAGGAAUAUUGGUCAAUGGGCGAGAGCCUGAACCAGCCAAGUAGCGUGAGGGAUGACUGCCCUACGGGUUGUAAACCUCUUUUAUAAGGGAAUAAAAUGAAGUACGCGUACUUCUUUGCAUGUACCUUAUGAAUAAGCAUCGGCUAACUCCGUGCCAGCAGCCGCGGUAAUACGGAGGAUGCGAGCGUUAUCCGGAUUUAUUGGGUUUAAAGGGAGCGCAGACGGGACUUUAAGUCAGCUGUGAAAUUUUCCGGCUCAACCGGGAAACUGCAGUUGAUACUGGCGUCCCUGAGUACGGUCGAGGCAGGCGGAAUUCGUGGUGUAGCGGUGAAAUGCUUAGAUAUCACGAAGAACCCCGAUUGCGAAGGCAGCCUGCCAGACCGCAACUGACGUUCAUGCUCGAAAGUGCGGGUAUCAAACAGGAUUAGAUACCCUGGUAGUCCGCACGGUAAACGAUGAAUACUCGCUGUCGGCGAUACACUGUCGGCGGCCAAGCGAAAGCGUUAAGUAUUCCACCUGGGGAGUACGCCGGCAACGGUGCAACUCAAAGGAAUUGA
rnacentral:rRNA from 1 species